rnacentral:misc_RNA from 1 species
AUUUUUAACUCCGACGCCGUACCGAAAUGACGGGUUUCAGAUGCACAGUAAUAUUUUGCGUAACAAUUAUUGCGCAUGCUCAGGAAGUUCCGGUCCCACCUCGUCCCCAAGGGGAACCGAGGCGGUCUACCAGUUAGCAUCGUCUCCAAGUGCUGUGUUUGACUGGGUUGCCAAAAUCUAUGACAACAUCUACCCACUGUCCAAUGCACCCACCAAACACAUGUCUGAAACGGAUGUCACUAAAUACAGCGAUUUAUAUUUGGCGUGAAUUGGAUUAACGGAGCACCAUUUCAUAGUCCACGACGUCAGGUGACGUCAAGCUACCGAAAGGCAAUUUUAACCUGUCACGUUUUUUCAAAAUCAUUUAGGUCCGAAAAUCUCUGAUCACACAGUUUCGACUUCAGAUAAGAAGAUUUUUCUGCGUGCACACAAAAUUUAAUGACGACCCGGUGCUCCAAGCAUGCUUGGAGACAUCGCUGCGCAGUUGGGCAUACAAAAAUCACAAUUCUUACACAAGAUGGCUGAUGCAUGGGUGGACAUGAAUAUUCGAAUGGAUUGGAAGUACGGAUGCACUCGUGGAGUGUCGGGAACACCGCUGUACGCCAUUAAUGGCGUUGUCAAGGUGAUUGACAAGGCCUGGUCUCUGACGGACUGGAUUGGUGUCCUGGAUCCGCUCGUUCGUAAAUCGUAUGUCUUCCAUGUUCCAAACUGCCGUCAUGUGCACAAAAUCAUUGACACAUAUGCCUGUAAAUGUACAUUUAAAGUAAGAUAGAGAUUAACAGCAAUAUAUC